UCUGUUUGAUCCUGGCUCAGAAUGAAUGCUGGCGGCAUGGAUUAGGCAUGCAAGUUGAACGAGAAAUUCACUUCGGUGAAUGGAAAGUAGCGAAAGGGUGAGUAACGCGUGAAUUAUCUACCUCUAAGUUUGGAAUAACAGUUGGAAACGACUGCUAAUACCGGAUGUGAAUAUAAGGUCGCCUGGCCUAAUAUUUAAAGAUUUAUCGCUUAGAGAUGAGUUCGCGUGCCAUUAUGCUAGUUGGUAAGGUAAAAGCUUACCAAGGCUAUGACGGCUAGGUGGUCUGAGAGGACGAUCACCCACACUGGGACUGAGACACUGCCCAGACUCCUGCGGGAGGCUGCAGUCGAGAAUCUUCCGCAAUGCGCGAAAGCGUGACGGAGCAAUGCCGCGUGAUCGAAGAAGGCCUUCGGGUUGUAAAGAUCUGUCAGGGGGGAAAAACAAUGAUGGUACCCCCAGAGGAAGCCACGGCUAACUACGUGCCAGCAGCCGCGGUAAUACGUAGGUGGCGAGCAUUAUUCGGAAUUACUGGGCGUAAAGGGUCCGCAGGGGGUUUACUUAGUCAGAUGUGAAAUUUCAGGGCUUAACUCUGAACGUGCAUUUGAAACUGGUAGACUAGAGUAUGUGAGAGGUGAGCGGAAUUUGUGGUGUAGCGGUGGAAUGCGUAGAUAUCACAAGGAAGGCCAAAGGCGAAAGCAGCUCACUGGCACAAUACUGACCCUCAUGGACGAAGGCUAAGGUAGCGAAAAGGAUUAGAUACCCUUGUAGUCUUAGCAGUAAACGCUGUACACUCGAUGUUGGUCUGGUUAGUCGGAUCAGUGUCUAAGCUAACGCGAUAAGUGUACCGCCUGGGAAGUACGGUCGCAAGACUAAAACUCAAAGGAAUUGACGGGGGCCCGCACAA
rnacentral:rRNA from 1 species